UACGUAGGUGGCAAGCGUUGUCCGGAAUUAUUGGGCGUAAAGCGCGCGCAGGUGGUUUCUUAAGUCUGAUGUGAAAGCCCACGGCUCAACCGUGGAGGGUCAUUGGAAACUGGGGAACUUGAGUGCAGAAGAGGAAAGUGGAAUUCCAAGUGUAGCGGUGAAAUGCGUAGAUAUUGGGAAGAACACCUGAGGCGAAGGCGGGUUGCUGGGCCGACACUGACGCUGAGGCGCGAAAGCCAGGGGAGCGAACGGG
rnacentral:rRNA from 1 species